CCAUAGCCCUGAUGGAAGCGGCAUCUCCCGAUUUAGAAAAACAAGGCUUUUUUUAGCCUUAGUUUUUAUUAUCGGGAAUAUAGCGGACAGCAGGAAAUAGC
rnacentral:sRNA from 1 species